rnacentral:rRNA from 1 species
UACGAAGGGGCUAGCGUUGCUCGGAAUCACUGGGCGUAAAGGGUGCGUAGGCGGGUCUUUAAGUCAGGGGUGAAAUCCUGGAGCUCAACUCCAGAACUGCCUUUGAUACUGAAGAUCUUGAGUUCGGGAGAGGUGAGUGGAACUGCGAGUGUAGAGGUGAAAUUCGUAGAUAUUCGGAAGAACACCAGUGGCGAAGGCGGCUCACUGGCCCGAUACUGACGCUGAGGCACGAAAGCGUGGGGAGCAAACAGG